CAGGUCUGUUUAGUAAGAGAAAUUAACAUUACAGUUUAAUGUACAUGUACUUAUGUUAGAAAAUACACAUGUGGAACAGUGUCUAGAAUGAAAUUAUUGUGGUGUAGUUGAGCUUACUCCAAAUCAAAGGAUGUGGUUUGAGCUAACCUAAUGUGCAUGCCCCAAUGUUUCGGUGAAACAGUUCUUUUUCUUAUUGAAUUUCACGAACACCAUAUUUUCGUUCUCAAAGACACCGUAAAUUUCCCAGGUUACUUUGCAGCCACAAUACUUUGACGAUGAAGAAGUUUGACGAAUUUGCAGACGGCAAAUUUACCUUUAUUUCCUGAUUUGUCGAGGCUAAUAUCGCCCAAAGAGUAAGUAAUAUGAAAGUUAAAUAUCUUUAAUAAUGAUAUGAAAGAGAAAGGAAUUUGAUAAAUUCUAGAUACGAUGUUUUGAGAUUGAAGUUUGAUGUCAAAAUUGUUAUUUACACAGAGUUAUCGUUAAUGUGUUCGCUACGCUACAUGUAUUAGCAAGUGAAGAGUGUCAAUUUCAUAAACAAAGAGUAAAAUUGUCUAGUUUGCUUGAUAAGAUUAAGCCUACAAAAGUACUGAAAUUCUGGUACAAAACAAAGGUUUGAUUUGUAGGAUUAAGCUAUGUCAAAUUUGGUACAAUGUACAAGAUGUAUUUUGAAAGCCAUUUUGUGUUCUUAGUAGGUUUCAUGUAUUUAAAAGGGAUACAGAACAGACGGAACAAAAGAAUGCCUGAGAAAAGGGCUGAAUGUUUAAACAGGUUUUAUAAAUGAAUGCUGUUAAGCUGCAUUUUGCCUGAGCUUGUAUUCAAGAUAUUUUGGUCAGUCAAGAUGUAGGUCGAUAGGCAAAGGUCAUAUUUCAUUUCGGUCAGAUUUAUCUGGAAUGAGCUCUGGAUAAAUUAAUUUGGAUGUUCUUUUGAGCCACAAAAAGAAACAAUGCAGCAGUAAUAAAGCAUGUCAUUUAAUGAUUAAGAAAAAGCAAAGACCAUAUGUGAAUAGUGGAAAUAUUGUUAUAUAUAAACCAUCCAAGAGGUUUCAAGGUUAUUUAGUGCUUUGUUAAGCAUGGUUUAUUUAUUCAGGAUUUAGUUUGGUUUAAAUACAGUAAAGAGCAAAUUAGGUAGUUUGAAUGAAAAUCAUACAUUUGAAAGAUUAUACAUUGCAUGUGUUUUAAGGAGAUUUCGGUAUUUCCACAGGACGUUAAAUUUCUAGUCAACUAGUUAAUUGAAUUUCUUAAAACCAAGUGAAGCUUGUGAUUUUCUGAAUUCUUAAAGAAAACAUAAUUUUGCUACUAUUGACGUAUAAAUAAGUCACUCAUGACAACUGAUUAUUCCAUGAAGCGAUAUAUGUUUAUUAGCAGACAAGAAGAUGUAAAUCUCUGAGUAUUGCACUAAACAAUGUGUUUUUAUUCUCUCUGUUUUCAUCUACAGAUUGAAUGAUUUGGAAGGGAGUUCCAAAAUAAACUUCCAUCCUCCAUAGACCAUA